UCAAACGAGAGUUUGAUCCUGGCUCAGAAUCAACGCUGGCGGCGUGCCUAACACAUGCAAGUCGAACGAGAAAGUUCCGCGCAAGCGGAAUGAGUAAAGUGGCGCACGGGUGAGUAACACGUAGCUAACCUGCCCUCGAGUGGGGGAUAACCUGGGGAAACCCGGGCUAAUACCGCAUAAUUCCCCGACAACCCAAGUUGUCGGGGGCAAAGGCCCGCAAGGGCCGCUGGAGGAGGGGGCUGCGGCCGAUUAGCUAGUUGGUGAGGUAACGGCCCACCAAGGCAAUGAUCGGUAGCCGGCCUGAGAGGGCGCACGGCCACACUGGCACUGAAACACGGGCCAGACUCCUACGGGAGGCAGCAGUGGGGAAUUUUGCACAAUGCCCGAAAGGGUGAUGCAGCAACGCCGCGUGAGGGAUGAAGGCCUUCGGGUCGUAAACCUCUUUCGACUGGGAAAAACGGGCCGACGAAGAGUCGGUCCUGAUGGUACUGGGGGAAGAAGCCCCGGCUAACCUACGUGCCAGCAGCCGCGGUAAUACGUAGGGGGCGAGCGUUGUUCGGAAUUAUUGGGCGUAAAGGGCGUGUAGGCGGUGCGGUAAGUUGGGCGUGAAAUCCCCGGGCUUAACCCGGGG
rnacentral:rRNA from 1 species